rnacentral:sRNA from 1 species
AAAUUUAAAACCUUUUAAAAUCUCUUGUAAAUCUUUUAAAACCCUUUUAAAAUCCUUUGUAAAUAUUUUAAAAGCCUUUUAAAAUCCAUUGUAAAUCUUUUAAAAUCCUUUGUAAAUCUUUUAAAACCCUUUUAAAAUACCUUGUAAAUAUUUAAAAACCCUUUUAAAAUCCUUUGAAAAUCUUUAAAAAAAAAAAUUUAAAAUCCAUUGUAAAUCUUUUAAAAUCCCUUGUAAAUCUUUUAAAACCCUUUUAAAAUCCCUUGUAAAUCACUUUCCCGCCAAAAAAAUUACAAGGAUUUUUAAAAGCAUUUUUUUGACUGAGAAAAAAUUUGUAACGAAAUAAAAUAAUUUGGCGGGAAAUAUUUUUUUUUGGCGGGAAACUUUUUUUUUGGCGGGAAAAAAGUUUGGCGGGAAACUUUUUUUUGGAGGGAAAAAUAAAUUUGGCGGAAAUAUUUCAGUUUCCAAUUACAUGUUCCUAUUAGAUGAGGGUAAUUUAGUUAUUCUGUUCAAGAGAAGAGGUAUUUUUAAAAAUGAACAACACAAAAGGGUAUUAUUGCAAAAUGGUAGUAAAAAAGGGUAGUUUUGCAAAUCUCCCAUUAAAAAUAGCCAAAAAUUGAUACAUUACACCCAAACUGAAACGUUGAAGUCAAAAUAAUUUACCCGUGCAUAAGACAGAUUCUUAUUUAAGUAUAUAUU